AUUGAACGCUGGCGGCAGGCCUAACACAUGCAAGUCGGACGGUAGCACAGAGGAGCUUGCUCCUCGGGUGACGAGUGGCGGACGGGUGAGUAAUGUCUGGGGAUCUGCCCGAUAGAGGGGGAUAACCACUGGAAACGGUGGCUAAUACCGCAUAACGUCGCAAGACCAAAGAGGGGGACCUUCGGGCCUCUCACUAUCGGAUGAACCCAGAUGGGAUUAGCUAGUAGGCGGGGUAAUGGCCCACCUAGGCGACGAUCCCUAGCUGGUCUGAGAGGAUGACCAGCCACACUGGAACUGAGACACGGUCCAGACUCCUACGGGAGGCAGCAGUGGGGAAUAUUGCACAAUGGGCGCAAGCCUGAUGCAGCCAUGCCGCGUGUAUGAAGAAGGCCUUCGGGUUGUAAAGUACUUUCAGCGGGGAGGAAGGCGGUGCGGUUAAUAACCGCGCCGAUUGACGUUACCCGCAGAAGAAGCACCGGCUAACUCCGUGCCAGCCGCCGCCGUAAGAC
rnacentral:rRNA from 1 species